UACGGAGGGAGCUAGCGUUGUUCGGAAUUACUGGGCGUAAAGCGCACGUAGGCGGUUACUCAAGUCAGAGGUGAAAGCCCGGGGCUCAACCCCGGAACUGCCUUUGAAACUAGGUAACUAGAAUCCUGGAGAGGUGAGUGGAAUUCCGAGUGUAGAGGUGAAAUUCGUAGAUAUUCGCAGGAACACCAGUGGCGAAGGCGACUCGCUGGACUUGUGGUGACGCUGAGAUGCGAAAGCGU
rnacentral:rRNA from 1 species